UAACACGUGGGUAACCUGCCCAUCAGAGGGGGAUAACAUUCGGAAACGGAAUGCUAAAACCGCAUAGGUCCUUUAACCGCAUGGUUGAAGGAGGAAAAGAGGCGCAAGCUUCUGCUGAUGGAUGGACCCGCGGUGCAUUAGCUAGUUGGUGAGGUAACGGCUCACCAAGGCCGUGAUGCAUAGCCGACCUGAGAGGGUGAUCGGCCACAUUGGGACUGAGACACGGCCCAA
rnacentral:rRNA from 1 species